rnacentral:rRNA from 1 species
UACGUAGGGGGCAAGCGUUAUCCGGAAUUAUUGGGCGUAAAGAGCUCGUAGGCGGUUUGUCGCGUCUGCUGUGAAAACCCGAGGCUCAACCUCGGGCCUGCAGUGGGUACGGACAGACUAGAGUGCGGUAGGGGAGAUUGGAAUUCCUGGUGUAGCGGUGGAAUGCGCAGAUAUCAGGAGGAACACCGAUGGCGAAGGCAGAUCUCUGGGCCGUAACUGACGCUGAGGAGCGAAAGCGUGGGGAGCGAACAGG